CAAGCGGAUCUCUUAAAGNUGUUCUCAGUUCGGACUGCAGUCUGCAACUCGACUGCACGAAGCUGGAAUCGCUAGUAAUCGCGGAUCAGCACGCCGCGGUGAAUACGUUCCCGGGCCUUGUACACACCGCCCGUCAAGCCAUGGAAGCCGGGAGUGCCUGAAGUGCGUGAGCGCAAGCAGCGCCCUAAAGGUAAAACCGGUGACUGGGGCUAAGUCGUAACAAGGUACC
rnacentral:rRNA from 1 species